rnacentral:rRNA from 1 species
UACGUAGGUGGCGAGCGUUGUCCGGAUUUACUGGGCGUAAAGCGCGCGUAGGUGGCUCUCCAAGUCCUGUCGUGAAAGGUCGCGGCCCAACUGCGACAGUGCGGAGGAUACUGGGGAGCUUGAGGGCAGCAGAGGCCGGUGGAAUUCCCGGUGGAGUGGUGAAAUGCGUAGAUAUCGGGAGGAACACCAGAGGCGAAGGCGGCCGGCUGGGCUGUACCUGACGCUGAGGCGCGAAAGCCAGGGGAGCGAACGGG